AACCAGCACCUCAAGUGGUCAGGAUGAUUAUUGGGCCUAAAGCAUCCGUAGCCUGUUCUGUAAGUUUCCGGUUAAAUCCAUUAGCUCAACUAAUGGGCUGCCGAAAAUACUGCAGAACUAGGGAGUGGGAGAGGUAGACGGUACUCGGUAGGAAGGGGUAAAAUCCUUUGAUCUAUUGAUGACCACCUGUGGCGAAGGCGGUCUACCAGAACACGUUCGACGGUGAGGGAUGAAAGCUGGGGGAGCAAACCGG
rnacentral:rRNA from 1 species